GCCAGGCAUGGUGGUGCGUGCCUGUAAUCCCAGCUACUCGGGAGGCUGAGGCAGGAGAAUCGCUUGAACCCAGGAGGUGGAGGUUGCAGGGAGCCGAGACUGCACCACUGCACUCCAGUCUGGGUGACAGAGUGAGACUCAGCCUCAA
ensembl:misc_RNA Metazoa_SRP Metazoan signal recognition particle RNA